rnacentral:rRNA from 1 species
UACGUAGGGCGCGAGCGUUGUCCGGAAUUAUUGGGCGUAAAGAGCUCGUAGGCGGCCUGUCGCGUCCGCUGUGAAAUCCCGGGGCUUAACCCCGGUUCUGCUUCCGGUACGGGCAUGCUGGAGUGUGGCAGGGGAGACUGGAAUUCCUGGUGUAGCGGUGGAAUGCGCAGAUAUCAGGAGGAACACCGGUGGCGAAGGCGGGUCUCUGGGCCAUUACUGACGCUGAGGAGCGAAAGCGUGGGGAGCGAACAGG